GUCAAACGAAAGUUCCACACAAAGGGAAGUCUCAAUUAGGGGAAAGUUCAAGAUAGAGAGAAGUUUUAGGUAAAGGAAGUUCCAAACAAAGGGAAGUUCCAUACGAGAAGUUCCAAUAGGAAGGAAAAUCUAGAUAAAGGGAAGUUCCAAUUAGAGGAAGUUCUAGACAGAGAGAAGUUUUUGUCAGAGGAAGCUUCAAAAAAAGGGAAGUUUUGGUUAGAGAAAGUUCCAGACAGAAGGAAGUUCCAACAUAAUCAAAUUACAAUGUUUAGAGGGAAAUUUUAGAAAAAAUCGAAUUAUAAUAUUCAUAGACAAGAUACGACAAUUAACACCAGACAAUCCACAAUAUUCAACACUCAAUUUUUCAAAUCAAUAACAAACCAAAAUUAACAUAACAUACAUACAAAAUGAAUGAAUUCCUGAAAAAUUGAAUUGACGUGCUAACAAUACCUACAUGCAAAACCUUACAAUUUCCCUCAUUCUCAAUUUCAAAACCCCCAUUAUUUCAAGACCCCAUAAUUCAACUGAAAUAGAUGUUGAAAUCAACCCAUGAACCCACAUGCAACAUGAAAAAUCGAGUAUACUAGAAAAGUAACUCAAAAUAUUUAACAAGGAAGAAUUCCUCCUAGUUCCUACUACUUCUGCCUCUACUUAGAUGGAUUGAAUAUGAAAUUCCCAAUUUUUAUCUUUAUCGUCUUUUGGUGGUUCUUUAGGGUACAUGUGAUACUAAAGUUGAAGGAAAAAACAUGUGUGAGGUCAAAUUGAAGAGAAAGAAAAACCAAAUUUUACUUCCAUGGAAAGAAGUUUUGUGAGGUAGACAUAAGGAGAGGGAGAUGGAUGAUGAACAGUAACAAAAUCAAAGAAUAAGUAUAAAUGUUGAAGGUUUGGUAUUUUAGUUUCUUGAUCAAGGACAUACAAGGGGUUGAAGAUGAUGGAGCUUUUGGUUCCUCCAUUUUAAGAAAAGAACAAAAGAAUGCACAAGAAAGACGGGGAAACAGAUGGUUGGAGGGAAUGAAAGAGUUGGGCUGGUGGUGAAGGAAAAAGGGGAAAUCUCAAUGUGUGUAUAGGUUGUGUGUGACGUGUAAG
rnacentral:lncRNA from 1 species